rnacentral:tRNA from 1 species
UCGGGAUAGCUCAGCCGCCUUGGUA